rnacentral:ncRNA from 1 species
ACCAAGGAGUCUAACAUGUGCGCGAGCCGCGGGGCAGUACGAAACCCGUAAGGCGAAAUGAAGGUGAACGCCGGCGCGGUCCGGCGGAGGUUGGAUCCCGUCCCGUCGGGGCGGGCGCACUACCGGCCGAUCUUCUCCGCCCUGUCGGCGAGGUCGAGCGAGAGCGUGCAAGUCGGGACCCGAAAGAUGGUGAACUAUGCCUGAGGAGGUUGAAGCCAGAGGAAACUCUGGUGGAGGACCGUAGCGAUUCUGACGUGCAAAUCGAUCGUCAAAUUUGGGUAUAGGGGCGAAAGACUAAUCGAACCGUCUAGUAGCUGGUUCCCUUCGAAGUUUCCCUCAGGAUAGCUGGCGCUCUGUCGCAGUUUUAUCUGGUAAAGCGAAUGAUUAGAGGUCUUGGGGGCGAAACGCCCUCAACCUAUUCUCAAACUUUAAAUUGGUAAGAAGCCCGACUCGCUCGUUUGGAGCCGGGCAUGGAAUGCGAGUGCCAAGUGGGCCACUCUUGGUAAGCAGGACUGGCGAUGCGGGAUGAACCGAACGCCGGGUUAAGGCGCCCGACGCGACGCUCAUCGAGCCCACAAAUAGGUGUUGGUUGAUAUAGACAGCAGGACGGUGGCCAUGGAAGUCG